UUCGGUCCCUGAGUACAGUGGCGCACGGGUGAGUAACACGUGACUUAUCUACCCUCGAGUGGGGAAUAACUUCGGGAAACCGAGGCUAAUACCGCAUAAUACCCACGGGUCAAAGGAGCAAUUCGCUUGAGGAGGAGGUCGCGGCCCGAUUAGUUAGUUGGCGGGGUAAUGGCCCCCACCAAGACGGUGAUCGGUAUCCGGCCUGAGAGGGCGCACGGACACACUGGAACUGAAACACGGUCCAGACUCCUACGGGAGGCAGCAGUGGGGAAUUUUGCGCAAUGGGGGAAACCCUGACGCAGCAACGCCGCGUGGAGGAUGAAGUCUCUUGGGACGUAAACUCCUUUCGAUCGGGACGAUUAUGACGGUACCGGAAGAAGAAGCCCCGGCUAACUUCGUG
rnacentral:rRNA from 1 species